UGGAUGUUAAUUGUGAUAAGAGUUGGUGAAGAUACAUCUCAUUUGAUUAAAAAGCCAAUACAACAGCAUAACGGGAUCGAUAGGAUGAAGGAAGUAGAGUUAUUGGAUUACGGUUGAAUUGAACAGAAAAGCAUCCAAAAUGUAUAUCUUAUAUUUAGUUUGCAAAGUGGAUGGUUAAAGUGGGGACACUUGUAACAAACUUCUUACAUCCUCAACGCAAAACAUUCGUCUAACAUAAAAUGAAAUAAAAUUUAGGUGCCAUCAAACAUCGCUUUCAUUUUUCUAUUUUGUAAAAUAGAAAAAUAGAAACUCUGAUAUUUUAGUUUUAUUUUUUAAAAUAUAAAUAUACUUUGUACAAUCAAUAAUUUUUAAAAAUAUAAAUAUGAUGAGAUGGAGAAGAUAAUGGUAGUAACGAUUAAGACAUCUUUACAUGCCUGUAAUAUUGAUGGUGGAAGUAGUUACUGUAUGGCACAUAUGGCAAUGAUGGAGAUGUGGUAGAGACAAUGAUGAUGGUGGUGGAUGUGAUGGUGGUGAAGAGAUUGGGGGUGAUUGUAGAGAUGAUGACUUUAAUGGUUAAUGCGUGGUCAAGGUAGUCAGGGUAGUCUUCAUUUAUUUCAAAAGCGAAGUGGGUGUAAGAGAUAAAUAUAGUGACUAGAAGUGUCAAUUCUAGAGUAUAUAUGAAUAUAUAAUACCAGGAUAACUAGCAAUGACUCAUACAGAGCAGGUUUACUUUUUUUAGUUGCAAAUAGACUAAUUUGGUGCGAAUAGCAUUUAGGCAUGUUUGACACUUUUUUUUUCAAAAUUCAUUCUCAAAUAUCAAACUAAUGAAAGUUUUUGUAUAAUGAUAAUUUUGACAUUUGGUAAUUCCAUGUUGUCCAACUAUUUUUUUUUAUAGACAACUUUAGCCAAUUUGGAAGAUAGGGAAUAGUUCUACAAGAAUUUUUUUUUUUUUGGCUUAUCUACUUCUUGUAGAAGCAUUUGUCUAAUGAUAUUACCAAAUAAUAUUUUUUUUGGGAAGUACAUUUUUCAAUUUAAAAAUUGGAAAGAAAAAUCUCAAGCAACACCAAACAAGCCCUACUCUAAGCUCUUGACAAGUCUUGUCUGGUUACUAAACCAAGCCCUAAAAAAUGCUCUUUAGUGUUGAUCAAAUUAGGCACAUUGGGCUAUCCAGCCCAGAGCUAGAGUUGACAAUAACAAAGCCACUGAGAACUUUUUGCACCAUGUGGCAGUGUACCCUGGUGUCUGAUAUAUUUUGAAUUGACAAUAUUUUCCUUCCCCUAUAUAGAAUGCAAUCCAAUAGAGGCCAAAUAAGAUAGGAGAAGGUCAGAGUUUGUUUGCUUUCUUUUCUCCCUCCAGUUCUCAUCUGAGGCAAGUCUGUACUCUCCCUGCUUUAAUUUUUACUGCUCUUUAAAACUCUCCCCCUCUCUCUGCCCUAGUAGAUUUGAAAACUUUGCUGCAUGAGGUGGUUUCAUGUCAAUAAUAAAUAAAGGUGCCAUAUUUUAAUCAUGACGACCCUUUACCAUCUUUACCAGUAAAUUGUAAAUCUAAGUAUUCGUUUUUUAAAGAUACAAGAAAAAUAUCCAUUUUAACAGCAACUUAAGCAGGAUCAUUUUUGUUUCCCAUUAAAAAGAACUUAAGAAAAAAAUACAUCUUAUUUUAGAGAGGAUGAAGAUCCUUAGAUCGAGAACCUUGGAUCAUUUCAUUAGGGUGUUCAUGUCAUUUGCAAUGGACAAAAUGCUAAUACUCCAAAAAAAAUUUCCAUGGAUAUGCCUUUUCCAUUUUCAUCUUCAGGCAUUUUUACACCACAAAUAAAGUGGAGAAAUUAGGGUUUUCAGUUUGUCCAUUUAGUUCUACAGAAAUGUCUGGAAAACUGAAAAUCCUGAUAAUUAUGCACUCUCCAGAUAUUUUUUUUGGUUAUGUGGAUAUAGCAUUUUUUUUUUUUUAACUUUUGUAUCGACUUGUCUACAAUCAAACAAAAAGAAAAAUCAUAUUUUUAACAUAUGCAUUCCUUUUGACCAAUGUAUCUUGGAACAAGCAAAAACUAGCUGAGGAGCGUUUUUGCCUCAAUUUUCCCCUUAGGAAGGUCAUGAAGCUACAAGGUUUACCUCAUCUUCUAUUUUAGUUUUAGUUCAGGAUACCCAUGUCUAAAACCAGUUAUCCUUACAUCGCCAUAAUCCAAAAAAAGAACUUAUACAUACAUACAUACAUACAUAUAUCAACAUAAAUCAAUGCAAAAGAUAUUUUGAUGAACUUACAAUAAGAUAGUACAUCUUGCUUUCACUGUGAAAAUUGAACAUUAUGCUUAAAGAGAUGUUACAUAAACAAAACCAUGUCAGAUGACUGCAACCAAUGGGUUGUAGUCUCCAUCCCUGCAACUUAAUCUAAUAUGACCAUAAACCAAUUAGGUCCCUUUAAGUUAGUAUGCCAAUUUUUGCUCGUAAAGCAACUGGACAGUUUACCAAAUAAGACUGGUUUCAAUUAUCGAAUUUUUUUUUUGCUUCACAAUUCCAAAAAUUGGUUAAGCAAAGAUUCAUUUUUUUAAUUUAAACAUCUUUUCCUCUUAUGCUAGUUAACAAGCAUGACAUUUUUUUUUGUCUGCUGUUUGAUGCUAUAAUCAUUUAGGAAGACAGUAUACUUGUUAUUUAAAAGAAAAUCGUAAGAAAUGAACUAAUAAAGGCUUGGAAAGAAUGAUAAACAACAGUUUGCAAAGCCAAUCUAUAUAGAUGGAAUAAGAUUUCCUGAUUUACAUGAGAUUUCAUUUUUCCACAUUCUAACAUAUUACUGUAUACUUUGAUCAGUGAUAUUAGCUUGGUAAAGGAGCACACCGGCCUGAAUGGUAUGAGCUGUUAAUUAUAUACAAAGUUUUAUUAAUCAUUAGGGUUGUUUCUUUCUGAUCAAAUUCUAAGAGAAAGUUCAUUAUUCUACAUUAUAGCUUGAGUUUCUCUGCUAAAGUUUGAUCAUGAAAGCCCAACAAAUGUGCAAGAAACCUCAUUCAGAAUUUUCAACAGGAAUCAAUAUCUACACAACCAAAGAGAUCCAGACCCAGGGCUUCUAGAGGAGGGGCAAGUGCUAUAAGCAGGGCAGAUGUUUCUAAAAUAAUUGACCAAGUCAAGCACAAGAUAGAAUCAAGUUUAAAGUUCUAUAUGAGCGCAGAACAGAUACUGCAGAGACUCGAGAGAGAAGGAAUACCGCGCUGGCUUGCGCUUGAGGGUAGGGCUAACUCUAUAAAUGAAGCAAAAUAAAGUCUUAUUUGUUUAGCAUAUAGUUUAUUUAUGCGAUGAUCAUCUAUUUCUUUUAACUGAAAACCUUGUGUUUCUGGUGAUCUAGCUCCAAGUCUGCCAAAAGAACAUUCCUCCUGUUACUAGCUUUUUGAUUCAAUCCAGGCUCAGCUAGCAUGAGCUCCAUACACUACCCAAUCCAUCUCCCAUAGCCAAUUUAAAGGCAGUGGACAACAUUCUGCUACAUUUGCUUACCAAAAUCCAUGUCAAACCUCUUAGGGAGGUUUCUCCUCUUGGCUGUGUUACACUCUCUGAGAUCCAAAAUCCUGCUCUACGACCAACCAUAGGAUGCCAUCUAAAAUCCUGUCAUUAGAAGAUUCUACUAUUAUGUUAUUCCCUAAUGUCCCAAACAGACAUUUAAUUAUUUGCCAAAGUUGAGCAGCCAUAGCAGAACUGUUUGAGCAGCUUCACACUAGUCAUGAUGAUAUAAAAACGUUUGGCAAACAUCAGGGCCAGAGAACAAACCUAUCAUCAUCAUUGUUUCAGUACAUUGAAUCCCACAGUCAUUCACAUGCCAAAUGUGCAUUUGCUCCUCUCAUUUUUUUCCAAUAAGAGUGGUUCUUAAAGGUCAUCCUCAAGUAUAAAACAGUAAUUGAAACUGAACAGCUCUAGGGAUACCUUAGCUGUUUGCACCGCUCCUGUAAAUCCAUCCCAUUUGUUCAUGCACACUGUCAUACAUGGGUCAAUCAGGAUAUCUCUGGAGAUAAAAGUUGAUCUGGAAGAAAUUUCUACAUAUUAUAAUAAAGUAAUCCUCUGUUCAUAAAGCAAUACCCUGAGAAGCUCAAUUUCUUUUCUUAAGAACUGACCAGUCAGGCGCACAACCCACAAUUCUCUCAUCAAAGAUAGCUUCAUGAUCCUGAUUGGCUUGACCCUUCCUUUGAUUUUCCCUAUUUUUUUCUUAUUUUUUUGGGAGAAAGCAGAGGGAUACCACCACACAGAUUUGAAUCUGGGGCAUUUCCUUGCAUCGAGAGGAAGCCAACAACCAGUUGAGCCAAGUCUGAUGGGGGAAUGGCUUGAUCUGUCAUAGCACAGGAUGAAUACUGGCUUUACCAGGGUUGCUAAUGCUGUUCGCAAGAAUCGAUGGCAAAGGAUUCAUGAAGCCAACCUCAAAAGCAACUCAGUAAAUUAACCUAGAACUGAGUUUCUCCUCAAAGGGCCAUCUCAAGCACCCACAUAAUUUAAUUGCUAGUGUCUUUUGUUCAGAAUAUGAAUGAAAAUAUUUUGCUCUAAUUUGUUCCAUUCUUUUGGUUUUCUUCCCUACAUUCAGUGUGGAAGGCGCUUAGGGAGCAAAAUUGUGAUUUUUUUGUCGCAUAUAGUGUAAGAUUGAAGUUGAUCGAACAGAUCACCAAAUUCAAUGAGUUGCUUGAGCACCAACGAAAAUUAAUGAUGGCAAAUGCUUCACAGCCUUCAUUUCCAGUUGCUCCAAAUCAUCAUGCGAUCCACCCUAUGUCAGGCAAGUUUCCUCAGCUCUUCCAUAUUAGCUGGUGUUUUACCCGGCCUGUGAAUUUAACAAUCGAUCUUGCAAGGUACUUUUCUUCCUCAUAGACAUCCCUUUAUUCGAGGUGGCUUGAUCUGCUCUUCAAAUCAAAUAAGAAUAUU